UACGUAGGGCGCAAGCGUUGUCCGGAAUUAUUGGGCGUAAAGAGCUCGUAGGCGGCUUGUCGCGUCUGUUGUGAAAGCCCGGGGCUUAACCCCGGGUCUGCAGUGGAUACGGGCAGGCUAGAGGCAGGUAGGGGAGAACGGAAUUCCCGGUGUAGCGGUGAAAUGCGCAGAUAUCGGGAGGAACACCGGUGGCGAAGGCGGUUCUCUGGGCCUGUACUGACGCUGAGGAGCGAAAGCGUGGGGAGCGAACAGG
rnacentral:rRNA from 1 species